rnacentral:misc_RNA from 1 species
AGAGGGAGAUAAUAGCAAUCCUCCAGGUCGUCGAAACUUCCACGAAGGAUUCAGGAUUCGUGGACAAUAGCCGAAUCAUCAAGUUCACGCUAUUGUCCCAGAAAUAAUGGAAUGCGUUUAUCUCAUUUUAAAUCGUGUUAUUCACAUAUGUAUAAUUUAGGGCGAAUCUUUUUUUUUAAACUUCUGUCAACUUUGGGGUCAUUGCUGAGCCAGCAUCUUCCGUUUCUUCUUCGGACUCAGUCUCGCACGGGGGAAGAUCUGGUAUAGCUGUAAUUUGGAUUAAUCUAGUGGAAUCUCAAAUGGAGCUCGGAGUUCAACUCCAUGAACGCGUGACCCCAGGAGAAUUUUCCAAGAUAGUACGCCGCCUCCUCUGGAAAUCCAGUUAUGAUCAACGUCGCCGCGAUAGCUUCGACACAGCUCAAUUGACAGGGUUUUCCAUAAUUUAUGGGGUUUGCUGCAACCAAAAAUGGCAACAACCGUGGAUAUGGAGUUCGCAUUCUAGCAAAAGGGGUGUCAUCCAAUCUUGCCCAGCUGCAGUCGACUACUGCGCAACCGUGCUCUUCCACAAUUUCUUUGUCGACCGGACUUACGCACUGUAAUCAAGAAUAACUUUGAUGUACGGUCUGAUCUGGAACAGGUUUUGUAUGAAUUUAAAAAUCAACUGACAAAAUAUACAACGCACAAAGGAGGUUUAGUCAUUAAAUAUAAUAUUGAACAUAAACUAAGAUGUAAGAAAAUAUGAAAUAAUUUAUAAACAAAAAGUAAAGCGGAAGGGAUCCAAACGGUAGUGACGGAGCAUAAAAUACCUUCUUACCAACUGGCGUUAAUACCAGCCCGGAAAAUCUGGCGCCUAGCCUCAAGGUUUCCACGAGACCAUGCCUCGCUAGUUUUCGACCGGAACAUUUUUUUGGGUCGCAGUGUUCGAGAUCCCACAUAGCAACAGGAAACGAAAUCGGACAUUUGUCCUUUUCUGGAAUAGGAAAAUUAAGGGAAAUUUGGGACAUAGUCCGGAU